GACCUUCUUCAGUGAGCUGUCCACGAUCCCUGGGACUAACUCCUCACAAGCGUCCCACUUGUGCUUCACAGCCAAGUGGGACAAAGCUAGUUGAGGAGUUCCCUCCAGGAGGUCUGUUGGAGGCUCGAGUAGGUUCUGUGUCCCGCGGUUUGUCCCGGGGAGUCUAUUUUGGACAGCCCAAUGGGCGAAGGUCAGGCCCG